GGUCAGAACGAACGCUGGUGGCGUGUCUUAUACAUGCAAGUCGAGCGAGGCAGCAAUGCCGAGCGGCGAACGGGUGAGUAACGCGUAAGCAAUCUGCCCCAUAUCAGGAAAUACCCGUGCCAACGCGCGGUUAAUGUCCAGGAGAGUGGCCCUCUGCAUGGAGGGUUGACUAGAGAUUUAUCGGUAUGGGAUGAGCUUGCGUCCGAUUAGCUAGUUGGCGGGGCAACGGCCCACCAAGGCGACGAUCGGUAGCCGGCCUGAGAGGGUGAUCGGCCACAUUGGGACUGAGAUACGGCCCAGACUCCUACGGGAGGCAGCAGUAGGGAAUAUUGCACAAUGGGGGAAACCCUGAUGCAGCAACGCCACGUGUGGGAAGAAGCAUUUCGGUGUGUAAACCACUGUCAUGAGGGAAUAAGGCCCUUAUUCGUAAGGGACUUGAAUGUACCUUGAGAGGAAGCACCGGCAAACUUCGUGCCAGCCGCCGC
rnacentral:rRNA from 1 species